UGUUCAGCGCAGAUUUCCAUGAAAAAAAACAUACCAGAAUUAGGGUUUCUGCCAGAAUAUCCCUUUCUGCUUCUGCUUUCUCUUUCUCACUCUUACUUACCUGCUUGAUCUCUCCCUAUCUAGUUUACUCAUCAAAGUUCAAGUUCGUUUUCCAAUAUUCUCUUAUCCUACUUUAAUUAAUUAAUACAAGUCUUUUUCAUGCUCAUAGAUCUUUUUCUUAUCUUUCAAAUAAUCAUGUGUAGUUUCGAUUUCAUCGCAAUUAUUCUAUAAUAUACCUUUUUCUGUUCCUGGAUUAUCAUUAAUCUGAGCUCAUUUUCUUCUCACGCGUUCCUGUGGCUUAGGGUUUCCUUCAUUCACUGUGAUUUUUAUGUGAUACCAGCUAUUUAAUUUUCUAAGGUUUUAUUAGACUUACUUAGCCUAAUAUGUUUGUACCUUUAUUCUCUCUCGAAAAUGUUAUGUCCAAGUUAUUAGAGUUUAUGUAAUCCUCUAAACUUCCAUGAAAAUAUAUAUACAUCGUGUUACUAAUCAGCACCUCAUGCUAGCUAGUUGAGCUUUCUCUUCUUUUUUUUCUUUCUCUAUUGUUGACCAAUUUUUUUUUUUUCAUUUAUUUUAAAAUUAUACCUUGUUUUUGAGUACACAGAGCUGUUUUUCAUAUUAAUCAGACGCAGUUUGUUUCGCUUUCGAAAGUACGUUAUUAUUAGAUUCGGAUCUAGAUUGGGAGGCUUUAAUUUAAUUGAAGCCUCAAUAAAUUAUCAUCAUCAUUUUGAAACCUGUAACUUAAUUAGCUUCGCUAUAUUUGCAUUAGGUUUUCUUAUUUCUUUAAAACUUGGAUCAAUAGACUAUUCAAAGUUUUAGUUUAAUUAUUCAUCUCAAAAUCUGUUUACACUCAUGGAGAAUAUAUGACUUGGAAGCUAUGAGCAGAUGAUGAAACGGAGGGAAAGAGAGUGAAGGAGCUUCUUUCAGUCCACUCAUGGAGAAGGGAUUAAAGGGUUGCUGAAAUAACUGCUGACUCAUUCAUACACACUAACAGUAGGGUUAAUUAAAUGAUGCUAAUACUACUGUAAUUGUGUGAAUGAAGCGGGAGAUAUUUUGCAUUAUCCUCUUUCUCUGUGCUUGGACUGAAGGGGAGCUCCUUCUUUCUGUUGCCUCCAUUAUUAUUAUAUUGGUAUAUAUUUUCUAUCAUAUAUGUCUCAAUUUCUAUUCAAUCAAAUAUAUAUGUAUAUGCUUGGCACAAAAAGGUGUAGCUGAUGUUUACACAUCAUAGAUCUAUAUCGUUCUUCUAGGCCUACGGUCUUUGUAAGUAUAUUUAUUAACUCUGAUAUUCACCACCAUAUAUAACACUCACUACUGCUACACAAAGAUUCACCAAGCACUUGCAUAUGACUCUUAAUUAAUGGCUACAUACAUGCCCCCACUUGCCAGCAAAGUCAUGAUGUCCGACAUAGAAAGCAGAUCAAUUGUGCUACAUUAAUUCCUUUCCAGUUCAAGCUUCUAUUCUUAUUCUUCUCUCUCCGAUCCGUACAAUUUAUGGUUCUAUUUUUUUGAAGAGUUGGCCACUAUGAUUGAGGGGUACGGUCUGGCUGUUCAUUUAUCUUUGUCAGCACUAAACUAAAUAGUAUCUUAUGCUGAUCAUGAUCAAUCACAUACAUGGGAAUCAUCAUUUACAUGAGAGCGUUUGGGCUUAGUUUCCUAUAUUUAAUUAUAUAUGUAGAUUAGCUAGCACAACAUACAUGGCGUGCGUGGUGUUGUCGCAUGUAUGUUUUAAAUAUAAUACUAUAACGCUAACUGAAUAAUGCAAAGUACAAAGACUCAGGAGAUUAAGGGAGUUUAUCAUAAUGCAUGCUAGUAGAUACUAUAUGCCACUCAGAAUCAUUAUUAUUGGCAACUUUAGCAUAUAUUUUCUUCAUUUAAGCGGCAUCUUAUUUUUACUAGUGGAAGAUCAGAUCAGAUAUUUACUGUACUUUGCUGAUCGAUGAUCAUGAUUCGAUACAGAGAUUUAAGUCAUUUAACUGAUGUACUUAAUUAAUUAGUUAUAAUAAUAUUUAUAUACUACUGUAUAUUUUAUUGGAAUGCAUGUAUAUCUAUCUGUAUUGCAUUUUCAUUUCCAUUAA